UACGUAGGUGGCGAGCGUUGUUCGGAUUUAUUGGGCGUAAAGGGUCUGUAGGAGGUUCAUUAAAUUCGAGGUGAAAUCCCGAAGCUCAACUUCGGAAUUGCCUUGGAGACUGAUGGACUAGAGGACUGGAGAGGUAAGCGGAAUACCAGGUGUAGCGGUGGAAUGCGUAGAUAUCUGGUAGAACACCAAAAGCGAAGGCAGCUUACUGGACAGUUUCUGACUCUGAGAGACGAAAGCGUGGGGAGCAAACAGG
rnacentral:rRNA from 1 species